GUGCUCACUUCGGUGGCACAUACACUAAAAUUGGAACGAUACAGAGAAGAUUAGCAUGGCGCCCGCGCAAGGAUGACCCGCAAAUUCAUGAAGCAUUCCAUAUUAAA
ensembl:snRNA U6 U6 spliceosomal RNA